ACGAACGCUGGCGGCGUGCUUAACACAUGCAAGUCGAACGGUGAAGCGCCUUCCUUUUUGGUGGGUGUGGAUGAGUGGCGAACGGGUGAGUAACACGUGAGUAACCUGCCCCCUUCUUCUGGAUAACCGCAUGAAAGUGUGGCCAAUACGGGAUAUUCUGGGUCUGUCGCAUGAUGGGUCUGGGAAAGAUAUUGUUUCGGUGGGGGAUGGGCUCGCGGCCUAUCAGCUUGUUGGUGGGGUGAUGGCCUACCAAGGCGGUGACGGGUAGCCGGCCUGAGAGGGUGGACGGUCACACUGGGACUGAGACACGGCCCAGACUCCUACGGGAGGCAGCAGUGGGGAAUAUUGCACAAUGGGCGCAAGCCUGAUGCAGCGACGCCGCGUGAGGGAUGGAGGCCUUCGGGUUGUGAACCUCUUUCGCCAGUGAAGCAGGCCUGCCUCGUUUGUGGGUGGGUUGACGGUAGCUGGAUAAGAAGCGCCGGCUAACUACGUG
rnacentral:rRNA from 1 species